CGCUACUUGUUCAGCACGAUCUACGCGUGAUGUCCCACUUCAACACGGAGUGCAAGGAAUCUCUACUUCGACCAGACGCUGAUUUCAAGACAACAAAAAGAGCUGAGAAAGCCAUCACUCGGCAUCAGACUCAGUGCAUGCAGUCUUGUUGCAGUUAAAGGGGAACUCCACGAAAAAAUGAAACUUUGAUAGCCUGUAGAGUUUCGGGCGCUGAGUCGAAUGGUCUUGGUCCGAAGUCUCUACGACGAAGCGUUCUUGAGAUAUUUCACUUUGAAAUUGCAAAAACGGGGGCCGCGCCCUGACGUCAUGCGGCCAUUUGGUUACAUCAUCACGGGCUGCCUACGUCAUUGUGGCAAAGUCGUUUCUCUUCGCCAGUCUACAAGCACUAAUUUUAGUUGGUAUUUCAAGGGAAGAUGGGCGAUUCCGAACAAUCCUCUGUCCCCAGCAAUGAAGGCAGCGAUGCUGAGGCCAGUGAGGACGACCAACAGCCCACCGCCGCGUAUGGUUGGGGCAGGGAGCCCAGAUACUCUGCUGAGGAGCUGCCAUCGCGUGUAACAAAUGUGGAGGAAGAAGAUGCGUCAGCAGCUGCGUCCGACAGAAGACGAGUAGCUUGGCCACCAGAAUCUCGAUUCGUUUGGGACUCCGACUGGUGCGAGCGUGGACAAAAGUGUAUAGCCAUGCCCAGCCCGCGGGAAUGAUUUUGCUGGUAGGAUGCUGCCGUCGCUGUCGACACUGAGACGGCCCAAGGUUUCUUGCGUAGCGGACCUCGCAGAUUACGAGAUCGUAUCCUUGCAUUAGGCUGUGCUCAUCACUGCUCUUCGAGGUUAUCUCGACAUGCAGAAGCCGCCAAUGCCAGUGACAGAAGAGUCUGACAUUAGAUCUCUACGCUAUGCGGCACACAGGCAGUACACACUAUGUACACGGCAAAUUGGGCAAGCACGUUCGUUGUCGUCUUCCAGCCUGCGUUGUGAAUACCAUCAGGCAAAGAUAUCCAAAUCCUGCACCACCUCAGCCUUCUCAGGAGGCUUCCACCUGGAAUUUGGCAGGGAAACACGCUUCUCCAAGGCAGGAACAUGGAGGUUGCCAUUUGCAACCGCUACCACCUCACACAUGAGCUUGUCAACAUACUCAUAGCUCUUUCUGUCGUAUAAUUUUCUAUUUGGCCACAGUCUUCUUUAUGCUUUGAGAACUGGACUUUAUACCUUCC